rnacentral:rRNA from 1 species
UACGGAGGAUCCAAGCGUUAUCCGGAAUCAUUGGGUUUAAAGGGUCCGUAGGCGGUUUUGUAAGUCAGUGGUGAAAGCCCAUCGCUCAACGGUGGAACGGCCAUUGAUACUGCAAGACUUGAAUUACUAGGAAGUAACUAGAAUAUGUAGUGUAGCGGUGAAAUGCUUAGAUAUUACAUGGAAUACCAAUUGCGAAGGCAGGUUACUACUAGUUGAUUGACGCUGAUGGACGAAAGCGUGGGGGAGCGAACAGG